AUAAUUCUUAUCGCCACUAGGCAGGACAAUUGUUUUGAGAGGAGAAAACUCAAAGAUAAGUGGUUGUGGUAAAUACUGAUAAUAUUUA
rnacentral:ncRNA from 1 species